rnacentral:rRNA from 1 species
AACCAGCACCUCAAGUGGUCAGGAUGAUUAUUGGGCCUAAAGCAUCCGUAGCCGGCUCUGUAAGUUUUCGGUUAAAUCUAUGCGCUCAACGUAUGGGCUGCCGAAAAUACUGUAGAGAUAGGGAGUGGGAGAGGUAGACGGUACUCGGUAGGAAGGGGUAAAAUCCUUUGAUCUAUCGAUGACCACCUGUGGCGAAGGCGGCUUACUGGGUCUCUUCUGACGCUGAGGCACGAAAGCUAGGGUAGCGAACGGG